UUGGUCGGGGUUGGCCGCAUGGAGCACACGCUGUGCGGGAACCCAUCCUGGAGCCGCCUUGGGGGACCGGAGCAUCAAGGCCCCAUUCCCCCUUCCAGAGAUGAGCUUCCUAGAACAAGGAGAGAACACUUCAUGGCCAUCACCGGCCACGAGCACUGGCUCAGAGAGAAGCCAUGGGAAACAGGGCGCCAAGGCCUUGCGAUGGACAAGGCAGGAGGCUGUGGAGGAAAGAGAGCUGCUGGGUCUGGGAGAAGAUCCAACCGAUCCCCAGGCCAGGCCACCUGCUGAGUAUGCCGGACUGGAGGCCACAUUCCCAGAGGCGACGCACUUGUCCCAAGCUGCUCCCUUGGCCCGGUUGGGCUCCUCACCCACAGAGUGGGACAUCUUCCCCUCCGACAACGUAGCCUCCACCGCGGGCUCCAGCACAGAUUGUCUGGAGCUAGACCUAGAAUUCCCGGCCACUGGGGCCUGGGGGUACGAACUGGGCAUGGUGGAAGAGAGGCCUGCCUUGUGCCCCUCCCCGCGGGCCCUGCUACCCAAGCCGGGCUGGGACGAUGAGUUGCAGAAGCCGGGGGCCCAGGUCUACAUGCAUUUUAUGCAGGAACACACCUGCUACGAUGCCAUGGCAACCAGCUCCAAGCUGGUCAUCUUCGACACCACGCUGGAGAUCAAGAAGGCCUUCUUUGCCCUUGUGGCCAACGGCAUCCGGGCGGCACCUCUGUGGGACAGCAAGAAGCAAAGCUUUGUGGGGAUGCUGACCAUCACGGAUUUCAUCUUGGUGCUGCACCGCUAUUAUAGGUCCCCGCUGGUCCAGAUCCAUGAGAUUGAAGAACACAAGAUUGAGACCUGGAGAGAAAUCUACCUUCAAGGCUGCUUCAAGCCUCUGGUCUCCAUCUCUCCCAACAGCAGCCUGUUUGAAGCUGUCUACAUCCUCAUUAAGAACCGGAUCCACCGUCUGCCGGUCCUGGACCCAGUCUCGGGCGCCGUGCUCCACAUCCUCACACACAAGCGGCUGCUCAAGUUCUUGCAUAUCUUUGGCGCCCUGCUGCCCCAGCCCUCCUUCCUCUCCCGCACCAUCCAAGAUCUGGGCAUCGGGACAUUCCGGGACUUGGCCGUGGUGCUGGACACGGCACCCAUCCUGACAGCACUGGACAUCUUUGUGGACCGGCGCGUGUCUGCGCUGCCUGUGAUCAAUGAAGCUGGACAGGUUGUGGGCCUCUACUCCCGCUUUGAUGUGAUUCACUUGGCCGCCCAGCAAACCUACAACCACCUAGACAUUAGUGUGAGAGAAGCAUUGAAGCAGAGGACACUGUGUCUGGAGGGGGUCCUUUCCUGCCAGCCCCACGAGAGCUUGGGGGAUGUCAUCGACCGCAUCGUCCGGGAGCAGGUGCACCGGCUGGUGCUAGUGGACGAGAGCCAGCAUCUCCUGGGCAUCGUGUCACUCUCUGACAUCCUUCAGGCACUGGUGCUCAGUCCUGCUGGUAUCGACGCCCUUGGGGCCUGAGAGUAUCUGAGUCCUUCCUCCAAGGCCACCUCUCACAUGCCGAAGAGGACGAAGGGAGCCAGGCGAUCCGGCCUCUGUCUUCCCCCACCCCCAUUUGCUGGUUUGGCCCUGGUUCAGGCUUCUCCAGCCUUUGCCCCUGCCCUGCCUAUGCUCCCAGAAGCCCUCACGAAUGCCCAGUGCACCAUGGGACGAUGAAAUGAAGGAGAACGGCUGAGUCAAGCCUGGAGAUCCAUGAGCCAGAAGCACUGGGAUUACCCCAGGGCCAGCUGCCCUGGGGCCAUCCGUGUCACUUUCCCCCCCUACCUGGGGCGUGACCGGGCCCAGCAGGGCAGCAAGCCCUCAGCUGUUGGGGUUCACUGCGGGGCUCUGGCUUCCUCAGCUUCUGGACUGCCUGGGAGUCCCAGCUGUUCUCCUACAACUACUAACGUGGUUCCCCACCGCUGUGCCCCUGCCCCCCAGCUCUUCCCAGAAUUGUCAUUUCAGGGCUGUUGGUGGUCGCCAUGGAACAGCAGCCCGGGGUUGGGGGGGGUCCUCCCUCGUCCUCAUCCUGAGCACCAGCAAGUGCUGUUCUCAGGCCUCUGUGUUUGGAUCACUGAGGAUGAACCCUUGAGGAAGCAUAAAUGGAAAAAGAACAGCCCAUGAACUUGAAUUGUAGAAGUUUCCCUCAGAGAAUGCCAGUCAUUUGACCCGAACCUAUGGCCCGACCCCUGUGCUUUCUGAAUUCAAAGACACGAGGGAAGGUCUGUGAUGGACAAACACCACGACUGGCAUUUCAUUGGCGCAUAGGGUGUUAGCCCACUGAAAUUCCUUUUUUCAUCUUUUAUUUAUAACAAAACAAUGAAGAAGAUACGAAUUAGUUAAUUAUGCAGUAAAUACAACUCAGUCUACGAACUCAUGUGCAGGAAACAUAACUUUAUUUUUCUAACACAGAAUGGAGUUUCUGUGAUGAACCCCACUUCACCAGGUGGGAGAAAUGAGUCUCAGUCAGUUUGGGGCUCAUCCCCCCCACCUUUUCCUGGGCUGAAUCUGGUGGGGAUGGGAGGGGAAUGCUUUAAGUAGUGUGAGCCUUUGUUCCUCUGUCAUCAUCAUCCGCGCAUGGCCACACCAGCUAAAAAAACCUGUUCCCAUCUGGUUGUCACUGGGUUGGUCAUGGGUGGACCUGGCACCUGCUAGGUGCUCUCUCAGUCCCUGUCACAAAGCCUCCCUGGGCCUGCCUGCUCCUGGGAUGUGAGGACGUUCUAGUUUCCAGACCUGCACUCGUCUGGGCUUUCAGAAGCUCUGCAGAGCAGUUCCAAGCCCAUCGGCUCAGACCGACAGCAAGUGGUCUGCUUUAUUCUGCAUUUUGCUUUACUUCAGCCUCUACCCUGAAACAUAGGGCACAGGGCUCUUCUACCCUUGUCAUCUACAGAUCUCUCUGGGGGUAUUUGUCACACUCCCCCCUUCCCUUCAAAUACAGCUCCCUUCUCGGGGCCCUCUUCUCAGGGGCCCCUGAAAUGUGGACCUCAGAGAUCUCCACAUUCUCUUUUCUUCCCCAACCCUCAUCAACCUAGGGAAUCUUUAUGAGUGGGGCCUUUUCUCUAACCCACUAUGCAUUCUUCCAAACCCACUGUACGUGUCUUGUGUUUCUUGCCACCUAUCUUGAGGGUCAAAUUCCAAAACCAAGACCCAAUUUCUGUUGUUUCAUCCCUCCCCUGAGGCAAUGGACACUGUAGGUCUGCCUUCCAGUGGGGAGAGGAUAGGCUAAUAUUCCUAAAAUAUGAUCCCACCUCAUUCCCCUCACAGAGCAACAGAGUGGAGACACUUGUGUCUGAUGAGUCGGACAGCAAAUGAAGGCCUUUUUUCAUAGACGCCCAGCCUCUGUUUCCAAUUUUGCCAAAACCACGGUUCAGUGCCAGCUCUGCUCUGGCCCUCCCUAGGAAGGCCCCGGGCCUUGGGCUCAAGUGGGAUGAUGGGAUGCGGGUGCUUCUCUGGGCCUGUGUCAAGGGACACUGUCCUCAGAGAGCCUGGGGCAGGCUGCCUCCAGCUGCAGCUAACUGGAGGGUAAGUAUAGUGGGUCAGUCUCUGAGUGGUUGCCCAAGAUGGCGCCCCAUAAGCAGACCUUCAGGAGUCAUAGCACCGACAGAAAAGGCAUCCUGAGGAAGUCACUCCUUCCCCUUCCUGCUCCCCCUGAGAGCAGAUAGGUCUCCAGCCUCCACCGUGCUGAGGACCCAGCCAUUCCCCCCUGGGCCCCUCUGUGAGGGACCACGCCAGCCCCGCCAGCCCCCUGCUUCAGCCGUCCUUCUCGGAUGACAGCCAGCCCUCAGUUCCCAAUAGUCUCCAGCACCAUGGCUUCUAGAACAGAGUCUAAGGGUUGCCAUAGGGACUAUUCCUGAAUAAAAGUGUUGAAACCGGGCGCCUGGCUGGCUCAAAGGGUUAAGCCGCUGCCUUUGGCUCAGGUCAUGAUCUCAGGGUCCUGGGAUCAGGUCCCACAUCGGGCUCUCUGCUCAGCAGGGGCCUGCUUCCCUUCCUCUCUCUCUGCCUGCCUCUCUGCCUACUUGUAAUCUCUCUCUGUCAAAUAAAUAAAUAAAAUCUAAAAAAAAA